CCAGGUUCUAACAGAUAUUGAGUUUGGCACCGAAUCACUAUAAAAUCAUAAUGUUUGUGAUUGUGUGCCUAUUUCUUUACUAUUCUCAAUCAUUACUUAUGUUUUAAUUUAUCUCACUAAGCACUUUUUAGCAAAUUCACCAUAAUUAUCUUUUAAAUUUUUAAAUAUCCAAUUCAUCUCUCCUCUUGGAUAGCCAUCCUUAUACAAUAAGUAGUAUCAGAGCAGGUGCUCACUUGUUACUCAUCUUUUUGAGCUAAAGAUACUACGGCAACCCCAAUUAGGACUUCAUUGGUUGAGAGG
rnacentral:lncRNA from 1 species